CCCCCCUGGCAAUGGGCAAAGAAACACCUCGUUGGUGGUGUUGUUCUUAUAUCAGUCAGGGGAAGAACAGAUAGAAGUCCUUUGUUCAUCCUAGCUUGAUGCCUGACUUGGUGGCCAAAGCUGUUUCAUGCCUAGGACACAGUC